rfam:Schistosoma rodhaini strain Burundi genome assembly, scaffold: SROB_scaffold0000516
AUCCAGCUGACGAGUCCCAAAAAGGACGGAACGCGUGUCGAACUGGAU